GAAAUAGACGUACCCGGGUAGUCCACGCCGUAAACGAUGAGUGCUAACGUGUUAGAGGGUUUCCGCCCGUUUAGUGCUGAAGUUAACGCAUUAAGCACUCCGCCUGGGGAGUACGGCCGCAAGGCUGAAACUCAAAGGAAUUGACGGGGGCCCGCACAAGCGGUGGAGCAUGUGGUUUAAUUCGAAGCAACGCGAAGAACCUUACCAGGUCUUGACAUCCUCUGAAAACCCUAGAGAUAGGGCUUCUCCUUCGGGAGCAGAGUGACAGGUGGUGCAUGGUUGUCGUCAGCUCGUGUCGUGAGAUGUUGGGUUAAGUCCCGCAACGAGCGCAACCCUUGAUCUUAGUUGCCAUCAUUAAGUUGGGCACUCUAAGGUGACUGCCGGUGACAAACCGGAGGAAGGUGGGGAUGACGUCAAAUCAUCAUGCCCCUUAUGACCUGGGCUACACACGUGCUACAAUGGACGGUACAAAGAGCUGCAAGACCGCGAGGUGGAGCUAAUCUCAUAAAACCGUUCUCAGUUCGGAUUGUAGG
rnacentral:rRNA from 1 species